GGCUGAGAGGCGAGGGUGCCUUCGGGAGCCAGAACACAGGUGCUGCAUGGCUGUCGUCAGCUCGUGUCGUGAGAUGUUGGGUUAAGUCCCGCAACGAGCGCAACCCUUGUCACUAGUUGCCAUCAUUUAGUUGGGCACUCUAGUGAGACUGCCGGUGACAAACCGGAGGAAGGUGGGGAUGACGUCAAGUCCUCAUGGCCCUUAUGGGUAGGGCUUCACACGUCAUACAAUGGUCGGUACAGAGGGUUGCCAAGCCGCGAGGUGGAGCCAAUCCCUUAAAGCCGAUCGUAGUCCGGAUCGUAGUCUGCAACUCGACUACGUGAAGUCGGAAUCGCUAGUAAUCGUGGAUCAGCAUGUCACGGUGAAUACGUUCCCGGGUCUU
rnacentral:rRNA from 1 species